rnacentral:sRNA from 1 species
GCUGCCAACCUAUCUAUCGCUGCCAAUUUAUCUACCACUGCCAAUCUAUCUAUUGCUGCUAAUCUAUCGCUGCUGUCAAUCUAUCUUUUGCUGCUAAUCUAUCGCCGCUGCCAAUCUAUCUUUCGCUGCUAAUCUAUCGCCGCUGCCAAUCUAUCUCUCGCUGCUAAGCUAUCCCUCACUACUAAGCUAUCUAUCACUGCUAAUCUAUCGCUGCCAACCUAUCUAUCACUGCCAAUCUAUCUAUCGCUGCUAAUCUAUCGCUGCUAAUCUAUCGCUGCUAAUCUAUCGCUGCCAACCUAUCUACCGCGGCGAAUCUAUCUAUCACUAUCAUUACUAGUUCAAAAUAGAACUAGAGCAUAAAUACACUAAACUUCUUUUGAUAGAUAAUGAUUUUUGGUAAUGCUCAUAGCAUUAUAUCAUCUAUAUAGGGUAAAUCAUGGUCCCAUUUGGUCCCAUUUUGUUAAAAUGGGACCAAAUGGGACCAGAAUCAGUAAUUUAUAAGAAGAACAUGACCUGGGACUAGAUUUAUAAUAUAAACAGUGUAAAGUGACUAAUUUAAUAAACACU